CAGCAGCCACGGGAAUACGGAGGGUGCAAGCGUUAAUCGGAAUUACUGGGCGUAAAGCGCACGCAGGCGGUCUGACAAGUCAGAUGUGAAAUCCCCGGGCUUAACCUGGGAACUGCAUUUGAAACUGUCAGGCUGGAGUCUUGUAGAGGGGGGUAGAAUUCCAGGUGUAGCGGUGAAAUGCGUAGAGAUCUGGAGGAAUACCGGUGGCGAAGGCGGCCCCCUGGACAAAGACUGACGCUCAGGUGCGAAAGCGUGGGGAGCAAACAGGAUUAAAUACCCCGGUAGUCCCUGUCUCUUAUAC
rnacentral:rRNA from 1 species